AACGAACGCUGGCGGCAGGCUUAACACAUGCAAGUCGAACGGGUGUAGCAAUACAUCAGUGGCAGACGGGUGAGUAACACGUGGGAACCUUCCUAGAGGUACGGAACAACGCAGGGAAACUUGCGCUAAUACCGUAUACGCUCGAGAGAGGAAAGAUUUAUCGCCUUUAGACGGGCCCGCGUCGGAUUAGCUAGUUGGUAAGGUAACGGCUUACCAAGGCGACGAUCCGUAGCUGAUCUGAGAGGAUGAUCAGCCACACUGGGACUGAGACACGGCCCAGACUCCUACGGGAGGCAGCAGUGGGGAAUCUUGGACAAUGGGCGCAAGCCUGAUCCAGCCAUGCCGCGUGAGUGAAGAAGGCCUUCGGGUUGUAAAGCUCUUUUACCAGGGACGAUAAUGACGGUACCUGGAGAAUAAGCCCCGGCAAACUUCGUGCCAGCCGCCGCCGUAACAC
rnacentral:rRNA from 1 species